GCCUGGUUAGCUCAGUUGGUUAGAGCGUGGUGCUAAUAAUGCCAAGGUCACGGGUUCAAUUCCUGCUCACUGCA
rfam:Pelecanus crispus contig48821, whole genome shotgun sequence.